GGCCUGGGGAAAGCAGACAGUGCAUGCUGGCCGAGGAAGGGCAGCGCAGAACUUCUCGGGCAUUCGGAUCAUCUGAAGUGGACAGGUUAUUUGUCAAACCUUAUCCCGCUGGGCUGCGUACAUUCAGAGAACGUAUCUCCAUCUCGAUAGCAAGAGACAAAGGCAUCAUGUCUGCUACCCAAGGAAGCCAGAAGCAGGCAUCAGAUUCCCUGGGACUGAGAAUUGAAGCUGGGUCCUCUGGAAGAGCAGACAAUGUCUAAACGGAGCCAUCUAUCUGAGUUUGUAACCAGAUGAAAAGUCAGAUCUAUACAAUGAAAUUAAGAGCCCAAAGGUGGUAAAAUAUGUAAGCAAAUAUAUGACACUUUUCUUUGUCAUUAAAACAAUUUUACGAGGUAAAUGACUAUCUAAACCA
rnacentral:lncRNA from 1 species